rnacentral:pre_miRNA from 1 species
UUUUAAGUAUAAAUAUGUCCCAUGCAAUAUUUGGGGUGUACUUAUACUAAAA